UACAGAGGGUGCGAGCGUUGUCCGGAAUCACUGGGCGUAAAGGGCGCGCAGGCGGCUCAUUUUGUCAGGCGUGAAAGCCCCGGGCUUAACCUGGGAACUGCGUUUGAUACGGAUGGGCUAGAGUUCGGGAGAGGAGAGUGGAAUUCCCAGUGUAGAGGUGAAAUUCGUAGAUAUUGGGAAGAACACCGGUGGCGAAGGCGGCUCUCUGGACCGAGACUGACGCUGAGGCGCGAAAGCGUGGGGAGCAAACAGG
rnacentral:rRNA from 1 species